rnacentral:rRNA from 1 species
CCUACGGGCGGCUGCAGUGGGGAAUAUUGGGCAAUGGGCGCAAGCCUGACCCAGCAACGUCGCGUGAAGGAAGACGGCCCUCCGGUUGGUAACCUCCUUUGUCCGGGAAGCGUAGAAGACGUUACCUGACGAAUAAGCCACGGCCAACUACGAGACAGCCGCCGCGGUACUACGGAGGUGGCAAGCGUUGUCCGGAUUUACUGGGUGUAAAGGGCGUUUAGUCGGGUUGACAAGUCAGAUGUGAAAUCCUGCGGCUUAACCGCAGAACUGCAUUUGAAACUGUGGAUCUUGAGUACUGGAGAGGCAGCUGGAAUUCCUAGUGUAGCGGUGAAAUGCGUAGAUAUCAGGAAGAACACCGGUGGCGAAGGCAGUCUUCUGGAGAGCAACUGACGCUGAGGCGCGAAAGCGUGGGUAUCAAACAGGAUUAGAUACCCCAGUAGUC